rnacentral:lncRNA from 10 species
GUUCCACUUAUGGCCGCAGGAUCUACCGAGUUGUUGUCGGGACCCCGGAGCUGAAUUGCUUUCCUUUCUGUUGACCCUCAUCUCAGCCCAGAAAUACAGGAAAAGCAGAAGCUGGUUCCAGGCAAACCAAUGCUCCCAACUCCAAAGAGUCAGGGUUGUUAGAGAGCCCUUUCCCAGAAAGCCUGACACCCAUGUCUUUAGUCUGGUGGCUGUGCUAGUCACUUUUAACUGGCCAAAAGGUGCCCAGUGUUUAGCCCCCGAAUUCUAAGGAAAAGUAGGGCAGAAUAGCGAGUGAAAGGGGUCCAAUGGUACUCACUGCUUGGUGAUAGGUGAUAGUCCCUUCGUGGUUGCCAAAAUGUGUCUGGAAUUUAUUCCUUCCGGUGGGUUCUUCGUCUCGCUGACUUCAAGAAUGAAGCUGCAGAUCUUCAUGGUGAGAGUUACAGCUCUUAAACAUGGUGUGUCCAGAGUUUGUUCCUUCAGAUGUUCAGAUGUGUCUGCGGUUUCUUCCUUCUGGUGGGUUCAUGGUCUCACUGACUUCAGGAAUGAAGCCGUGGACCUUCACAGUGAGUGUUACAGCUCUUAAAGGUGGUGCCGACCCAAAGAGUGAGCAGCAGCAAGAUAUACUGUGAAGAGCUAAAGAACAAAGCUUCCACAGCAUGCAAGGGGACCCAAGCAGGUUGCUGCUGCUGGCUGGGGUGGCCAGCAUUUAUUCUGUUAUUUGUCCCCGCCCACAUCCUGCUGUUGGGUCCAUUUUACAAAGUGCUGAUUGGUCCAUUUUACAAUCCUUUAGCUAGACACAGC